AAAAAAAUAAAACCUGGGUUUCCGUACCAACAUUUGACUGUCCGUCUUAUAUAAAUUUUUUUAUAAUUAUUUUUAUUGUUGUUAGAUGAUAAAACAUAAUUAAUAUUUUAUGCGUGACUUAUCUUUUUAAUUUUUUUUCAUAAUUUUUUCAAAUAAGACGGACGGUCAAACGUUGGACAUGGAAACCAGGGUUUGUCUUUUU
rfam:Oryza glaberrima chromosome 5 Oglab05_0141_2, whole genome shotgun sequence.